rnacentral:rRNA from 1 species
CAGCCGCCACGGUAAUACGAAGGGGGCUAGCGUUGUUCGGAAUUACUGGGCGUAAAGCGCACGUAGGCGGAUAUUUAAGUCAGGGGUGAAAUCUCGCAGCUCAACUGCGGAACUGCCUUUGAUACUGGGUAUCUUGAGUAUGGAAGAGGUUAGUGGAAUUGCGAGUGUAGAGGUGAAAUUCGUAGAUAUUCGCAGGAACACCAGUGGCGAAGGCGGCUGACUGGUCCAUAACUGACGCUGAGGCGCGAAAGCGUGGGGAGCAAACAGGAUUAGAGACCCGCGUAGUCCCUGUCUCUUAUAA